rnacentral:rRNA from 1 species
CAACUUGAGAGUUUGAUCCUGGCUCAGAGCGAACGCUGGCGGCACGCUUAACACAUGCAAGUCGAACGAAGGCCCGGAGCUUGCUCCGGAUACCUUAGUGGCGGACGGGUGAGUAACGCGUGGGAAUCUACCUUACGAUGGGGGACAACAGUUGGAAACGACUGCUAAUACCGCAUACGCCCUUCGGGGGAAAGGCUUCGGCCGCCGUUAGAGAAUCCCGCGUUCGAUUAGCUAGUUGGUGAGGUAAUGGCUUACCAAGUCUACGAUCUUUAGCUGGUCUGAGAGGAUGAUCAGCCACACUGGAACUGAGACACGGUCCAGACUCCUACGGGAGGCAGCAGUGGGGAAUAUUG